ACCCUUGAAAGAGUGCGUAAUAGCUCACUGGUCAAGUGAUUCCGCGCCGACAAUUUAGCGGGGCUCAAGUUAUCCACCGAAGCUAUGGCAUUCAUGCAUAUAUCUCGGCCCGGGCAACUGGGUCCAGGAGCAUGGAUGGGUAGGGGAGCGUCGUAUGGCGAGUGAAGCGGCGGAGUGAUCCAGUCGUGGACGCCAUACGAGUGAGAAUGCAGGCAUGAGUAGCGAAUGAAGAGUGAGAAACUCUUCCGCCGAAUGAUCAAGGGUUCCAGGGUCAAGCUAAUCUGCCCUGGGUAAGUCGGGACCUAAGGCGAGGCCGACAGGCGUAGUCGAUGGACAACGGGUUGAUAUUCCCGUACCGGCAACAUGACGCCCAUGACGAACCCGGUGAUGCUAACCACCCAAAACCAUGUUCUAGCGCACCUUCGGGUGUGGCGGGGCGUGGCGGAGCGUGGGACCCGAACUGGUAGUAGUCAAGCGAUGGGGUGACGCAGGAAGGUAGCCCAGCCGUGGCGAUGGUUGUCCACGGGUAAGCAUGUAGGACGGGGUCCAGGUAAAUCCGGGCCGCUCACUUUGAUGUGGAGUCUGAGAUGUGACACGGAGCCGUAUGGUGAAGUGGGUGAUCCUAUGCUGUCGAGAAAAACCUCUAGCGAGCUAUGCGCCGCCCGUACCCCAAACCGACUCAGGUGAUCAGGUAGAGAAUACCAAGGCGAUCGAGUGAACCAUGGUUAAGGAACUCGGCAAAAUGCCCCCGUAACUUCGGGAGAAGGGGGGCCGGAUACGUGUAGUCCUUCGCGGGCGAAGCGUUGAUGGCCGCAGAGACCAGGCCCAAGCGACUGUUUACUAAAAACACAGGUCCGUGCGAAGUCGUAAGACGAUGUAUACGGACUGACUCCUGCCCGGUGCUGGAAGGUUAAGAGGACCGGUUAGCCGCAAGGCGAAGCUGAGAAUUUAAGCCCCAGUAAACGGCGGUGGUAACUAUAACCAUCCUAAGGUAGCGAAAUUCCUUGUCGGGUAAGUUCCGACCUGCACGAAUGGAGUAACGACUUGGGCGCUGUCUCAACCAUGGACUCGGCGAAAUUGCACUACGAGUAAAGAUGCUCGUUACGCGCGGCAGGACGGAAAGACCCCGGGACCUUUACUAUAGUUUGGUAUUGGUGUUUGGCACGGCUUGUGUAGGAUAGGUGGGAGACUGUGAAGCCAUCACGCCAGUGAUGGUGGAGUCAACGUUGAAAUACCACUCUGGUCGUACUAGAUAUCUAACCUAGGUCCGUUAUCCGGAUCAGGGACAGUGCCUGAUGGGUAGUUUAACUGGGGCGGUUGCCUCCUAAAAUGUAACGGAGGCGCUCAAAGGUUCCCUCAGCCUGGUUGGCAAUCAGGUUUCGAGUGUAAGUGCACAAGGGAGCUUGACUGUGAGAGUGACAACUCGAGCAGGGACGAAAGUCGGAACUAGUGAUCCGGCGCUGGCAUGUGGAAGCGGCGUCGCUCAACGGAUAAAAGGUACCCCGGGGAUAACAGGCUGAUCUUCCCCAA
rnacentral:rRNA from 1 species